CAUAGUCUUAUCUACUAAUUCCCAACAUAUUUCCAACUUGUCAUUAAUGGUUCUUUCUCUUAUUAUCAUCAUCUUAUUUUGAUUCCUUCAUCCUAAUCACUCUCUAUGUGCAUGGUUGCUGAUGCAGAUGGGCUUUUUUUUACUUGUUCAAGGACUUGGGUGAUGGUGCUUAUUCAAGAUGAUCGAUUUGUUUGUUGACAGAAGAUAGAGAGCACAGUUGAACAUACCCAAGAAGGCAUGUGUAUGAGCAGUUUUGUGCUCUCUUUUCUUCCGUCAACACAUUCUUCUACUGUACUUUGCACGUGGACAUAAAGAAGUUGCAUGUAAUAUAAGGACUCAUCUUUGCUCACUUGAUAUCUUAUAUAAGCAGUGUAUUGUAGCAAUUGUAAAAUAGAGAGAAGAAAAAGAGAAUGAAAUAGAGAGAUUGGCUGGUGCAUAUUUGUGAGAGUUCUCUAGUUUAGAAUAGGGUGCAAGGUUUUGUCUAUUAUUUGUAUUUGUGAGAGAGCUAUUGGGUGUGAGUGAAAAUAUUGAUACACCAACUUGUAUAUCUCCAUAUUUGAUUAGUGGAAUUUCUUUGUCAUUGCCCGUGGAUGUAGGCCAAAAGCCGAACCACGUAAAUCCUUGGUA